rnacentral:rRNA from 1 species
CCUACGGGUGGCAGCAGUGGGGGAUAUUGCACAAUGGGGGAAACCCUGAUGCAGCGACGCCGCGUGGGUGAAGAAGCGCCUCGGCGCGUAAAGCCCUGUCAGCAGGGAAGAAAGAAAUGACGGUCCCUGACUAAGAAGCCCCGGCUAACUACGUGCCAGCAGCCGCGGUAAUACGUAGGGGGCAAGCGUUAUCCGGAUUUACUGGGUGUAAAGGGAGCGUAGACGGCGCUGCAAGUCUGAAGUGAAAGGCGGGGGCCCAACCCCCGGACUGCUCUUGGAACUGCGUGGCUGGAGUGCAGGAGGGGCAGGCGGAAUUCCUGGUGUAGCGGGGAAAUGCGUAGAUAUCAGGAGGAACACCGGUGGCGAAGGCGGCCUGCUGGACUGCAACUGACGUUGAGGCCCGAAAGCGUGGGGAGCAAACAGGAUUAGAUACCCGGGUAGUC